rnacentral:rRNA from 1 species
UACGUAGGUGGCUAGUGUUGUCCGGAUUUACUGGGCGUAAAGAGCGCGCAGGCGGUCGUUCAAGUCGAGUGUGAAAGCCCCCGGCUCAACUGGGGAGGGUCACUCGAUACUGUUCGACUUGAAGGCGGGAGAGGGAAGCGGAAUUCCCGGUGUAGUGGUGAAAUGCGUAGAUAUCGGGAGGAACACCAGUGGCGAAGGCGGCUUUCUGGCCCGUUCUUGACGCUGAGGCGCGAAAGCUAGGGUAGCAAACGGG